UUCCUGGAGCUAAGGCAGCAGCUGAUCGGGCAGUGAGCUGAAAAACCUGUUUGAGUUAGCAUUUCCACUCCAAGGAACAGUCGUCGAUACCCUGGAGCUGAAGUCUUGUUGCUUUGCCUGCGGGAUAGAGUCAGGACAGGCUGAGCGGCAUCCCGGUACAAGCAGAUCUGCAGUGCCUUGGAGUGGGGAGCUGUUUGGUGCCCUUGCAGAUGUCCCAGCUCCUUUGCAGCUCUGGAGGAAACUAUACCUCUAAAGUAUUUGUCUCAUCAAUUUGCAAAGACAUCUUUAUUGCCCUUGGUGGAUCAUAAAGGCUGGUUUCCAAGAGGGAUGUUUACUGUAAAAGCUAAUGAAGACAUCAUUGCUUUCUGUGGCAUCUCAUAGCUUGUUCUCCAGAAAGAGUGAUUGACUCCUUGUUGUGGCUGUAUUUUAACUUCUGCUAGCCAGGGUGGCCUUUGCGAGACAUAAAUGACAUAAGGUGAACAAACUGCUUAUUAAGGUAAGACAAUGAAGGCCCAAUUUUAAAAGGUUAAGAUGUACUAGAAAGUAUCAGUGCAUCCUCCAAGUCAUUAAUGCUAUACAGAAUGCACAGCGUGUGGUAUUUUGAAAGGCCACUGUAACCUUUUCAAGCAUGAAGCAUGCUAAAAGGAAUCUAUUUCCUUACUGCCUUGAAAAGGGAAAUCAGUCUUAAAAAGCCUUAGUUUUUAUUUGUUUAAAAAGACCUUUCCUUGGAGUGUAAAAACAGAGGGAGGAUCCUCAAAGCUAAGUGAGCAGUGAGCUGUCUGUUGAAAGGAACAACCCUGGCAGUCCGUAAGCGGUGCGAGAUGUGAGAUUUUGUUUUUUAAAGAGAAAAAUAGUCUCACUCCUGUACUUUCUUCCCCAAAUCCUUAGCUGAAUUUUAAACUUUGCACAAGCUUGUUUUUGUCUCUAUUCAAAACAGCGAAACGCAGCGGGUGGACGAGCGUCGCGGUGCGGGAUCUCGGUGCCUCCACACGCGGCGUUUGCGGUGGGGAGCGGAGGUGAGGAGGCUGCGGAGCGGAGGAGGAAGGGGCAGCUUCACCCGCCUGUGUGCGAGUGGUGUCCUGGGCUGCAGGAUCUGAAGUAUUGAAACAGCAGUUACAGAUGAAUGCGUU